UCUAGUUUCAAGCCUUUGCAUGUUUAUUUUUUUGUUGACUUUGUGUUGUGAGCCAAAAUUGGAGUAUUAAAGGUACCGUAAUGUCCUCGCGCGUGAGCAAGGAGAGACGCUGUUUAUUUGAGCAAUUGCAAACAACAAAACUUGUAAUGCAAGGUACCACUGUACGUAUUUCGCACCGCAAAGCCUUACUAGCAUUUCUAUACGGGAGAGCCUUUGCUUGCACAGUACCUCGGGAAAAGUUUAACCACUUUUUGUUUUGUUCUUGAGGCCUCCCUCCUUCUUUUCUAUGCAUGUCACCAUGGACCAGAAGGGAUCGUUUCUUUUCCUCACGUUGGCUCUGGGAACUGUGGUGAUUUUUUGUGUGUGUGUGUAUUUAAUUUGGAACGUUUCUGCAACCACUCUCUCCCAAGUGCUCUAUUUUGAUUGUAAGACACAAUCCAAUAUUUGCAGGCUAAUGGGUUUUUUUUCUCUUUCAAAUUAUGUAUGGAAAAUGCUUGAGUUCAAAUAUAUUAUUUGAGAAAUUUGA